rnacentral:rRNA from 1 species
UACGUAGGGUGCGAGCGUUGUCCGGAAUUAUUGGGCGUAAAGAGCUCGUAGGCGGUGUGUCACGUCGGCCGUGAAAACCCGCAGCUCAACUGUGGGCUUGCAGCCGAUACGGGCGGGCUAGGAUUCGGUAGGGGAGACUGGAAUUCCUGGUGUAGCGGUGAAAUGCGCAGAUAUCUGGAGGAACACCGGUGGCGAAGGCGGCAUCCUGGACCAACACUGACGCUGAGGAGCGAAAGCCAGGGGAGCAAACGGG